rnacentral:rRNA from 1 species
UACGUAGGGGGCUAUCGUUGUCCGGAAUCAUUGGGCGUAAAGAGCGCGCAGGCGGUCGUUCAAGUCGCGUGUGAAAGCCCCCGGCUCAACUGGGGAGGGUCACGCGAUACUGAUCGACUCGAAGGCAGGAGAGGGUAGUGGAAUUCCCGGUGUAGUGGUGAAAUGCGUAGAUAUCGGGAGGAACACCAGUGGCGAAGGCGACUACCUGGCCUGUUCUUGACGCUGAGGCGCGAAAGCUAGGGGAGCAAACGGG